GCGGGUGCUAGAUCAUUAUCAGUCUAUGACUUCAAAUUAAUUGCUUCACUUUCCAAUAACUGUUGCAGAGAUGUAACAAAAAAAAUCUCCGCAGGUGAUGUAAAGAGUUAUGUAAUGAACAAGAAAAUCGUUAUUUGUCACAGGUAAAUAGAGAUUUGUAAUAGGUGUGUUUUAUAAAUUCCUUCCAUUACAAGCAACACA
rnacentral:lncRNA from 1 species